CGGUAACAGGUCUUCGGAUGCUGACGAGUGGCGAACGGGUGAGUAAUACAUCGGAACGUGCCCGAUCGUGGGGGAUAACGAAGCGAAAGCUUUGCUAAUACCGCAUACGAUCUACGGAUGAAAGCAGGGGACCGCAAGGCCUUGCGCGAACGGAGCGGCCGAUGGCAGAUUAGGUAGUUGGUGGGGUAAAGGCUUACCAAGCCUACGAUCUGUAGCUGGUCUGAGAGGACGACCAGCCACACUGGGACUGAGACACGGCCCAGACUCCUACGGGAGGCAGCAGUGGGGAAUUUUGGACAAUGGGCGCAAGCCUGAUCCAGCAAUGCCGCGUGCAGGAUGAAGGCCUUCGGGUUGUAAACUGCUUUUGUACGGAACGAAAAGGCUCUGGUUAAUACCUGGGGCUCAUGACGGUACCGUAAGAAUAAGCACCGGCUAACUACGUGCCAGCAGCCGCGGUAAUACGUAGGGUGCGAGCGUUAAUCGGAAUUACUGGGCGUAAAGCGUGCGCAGGCGGUUAUGUAAGACAGAGGUGAAAUCCCCGGGCUCAACCUGGGAACUGCCUUUGUGACUGCAUAGCUAGAGUACGGCAGAGGGGGAUGGAAUUCCGCGUGUAGCAGUGAAAUGCGUAGAUAUGCGGAGGAACACCGAUGGCGAAG
rnacentral:rRNA from 1 species